AUUCGACAACUAUUUAUAUUUUCAUGCUUCUACAGUAUAGUAAAUGAUCAAGGGACAACAAUCAUGCUUUGCAGGAACAUAAAAUGAAAUAAAAAGAGCUAAAAACUUAAUUAAAGUGUUUAUAUCAAGGCAGGAGACUCCUAUGUGCGCAUGCGCAGACCAGACUGUACCCUAUCUUUAUGAAUAAAAUAAUAGUCAUAUUUGCAACAGUUACAAGUUGGACAAUUUCAAUAUUAACAGGACUAACAUAUAUUCACCUGUAUUUUAGAAUUUCACUACCUCUAGCUUAGAUAACCUAAUCAUUAACAUUACAAGCUAAAAAUAUCUCAAUUCCUAAAAAUCACUACUUUGCCAACCCAGAGAAGCCUACGAUCAUAUAUAACCAGUUGCACGACGAUUCUGCAAGCAAACAGACCUGAAAACUGUGAAAUUUGACCGUACAUAAGUCAUGACGCCAUUAACAACAAAGUAUGCUUGACUGUAUUUUUGUUACAUGUCUCAAAUGACAGAUAGAGGAUGAUUUGCACUACACAACGUUUGGCUAAAACUGUCGCAUGCAACCUGUUCACAACUUGAGUUGUACUGUGUAAAUCAAGCACACAGCUCGUCUACGACAACGUAUGUAAGUUGUGUGCUUGAUUGGCACAGUACAACUCAAGUUGUAAGCAGGUUGCAUGCGACAGUUUUAGGCAAAAGUUGUGUAGUGUAAGUUGGAAUUGAAAUUGUUCCUCAAUCUUGGCAAAUGUACGUUCCUUAGGAUUUCGACAUUCCGCCUUUUUCCAGGUCUGUAAGCUAAUGGAGCUUUGCUGUUUAUUUCACUUUCGCCCCAAUGGCCAUAUUUUCAUCAGUUUGCCUGUUUUAGCAUAAACAUGUAAAAACGCAAGUCUGCAAACAAUUAAGUUGUUACAAAUCUGUUCACAAGCUGUCAACAAGUUGUCUUCGCACUGCUUGUUCCCAGUUGUUGUAACAAGUUUGGAACAAGCUGUUAACAAGCUUGAUGGCAUUAUCAGACUUGUCACAAGGUUGUUCUAACAAGUCUGUACAGUCAUGAUGAACAAGAAUGUUACAAGGUUGACGACACAAGGUUGUAACAAUAUUGUUAUAUCACGACUGUAUCGGACUUGUUGAAACAACCUUGUAAACAAGCCUGAUAAUAACAACGAGGUUGUUACAAAUUGUUAACAGCUUGUUUCAAACUUGUCGACAACUUUGGACAAGCAGUGCGAACACAACUUGUUGACGGCUUGUUGGCAGAUUUGCUACAAGAUGUGAGAUGUUUACUCGUGUAUCAGGCGCACAUGAAGGUUAUAUCCCCAUGUUUGAUGUUUCGUGCACGCAUAUGUUUCUCUUUGAUCUUCAUCACAAUCACAAGCCUCUCUUUAGCCCUAUUCUCCUGUACACACGUAAAAACGCACAAGUUGCAACAAACCUGCAGCAGACUUGUAGUAAUGCUUUUCCAACAACUUGUCAACAGGAUGUGUUCGCACUGCUUGCUCCCAGCUUGUUGACAAGUUGUCCACGGCUCGUUGACAACUUGCUACAAGGUUGUUGAGUUCGACAGACUUGUUGCAAGUUGUUCCAACAACUUGCUAUCGUCCUGCAAUUCAACAAUUUGUCAACAAGUUGUGAGUGACAACCUUGUAGCAAGUUGAUGAAAUAACAUGAUUGUUACAACUUGUCGACAAGCUUGCUACAAGCCUGUUGCGAACACAUCUUGUUGACAAGUUGUGAGAUUUUUACGUGUGUAGAUGGGUGUCAGUCAAGUGAUGCGUUUAGCGCUUGGUGGUCAACAAGUAUUGAUCUUGUGAUUAGUACCAAAUAUAUUAUUAUGCAAUUUAACGAAAUUUACUUGCUUCCACAAGGCAUAAAGUAGCCAGCAGAGCUUUGGCCGUAUUUCCAGGGGGAGCUUGAAAUACAAGGGUGGGUAGUAGCGAAGUAAUUGUAGUUCGCUACUGUAGCGAACUACAAUUUUCAAGUAGCCAGUAGUUUUUGACUACUUUUAUAAAACAGUAGCUGUAGUUAUAGCGAACUACAUUUUUCCUAAAAGUAGCCAAGUAGUUGACUACUUUUCGAACAGAAAAUCGCUAUUCGCUACUUUUUAAAAUUAUUAGCAACUUGAUAGAAUAGCAUGAUAUUGAGACACGGUUUGCUUAGAAUCAAUACUCAAUUGUCAAUUUGCACUCUUG
rnacentral:lncRNA from 1 species